AACUCUUUGAACAUGUUUUGUUAGUGAUUUCCUGAAUAAUUUUUUGUGAAUUUGUGUUUAAAGUGCAGUGGAUUGAAAAUAGUGGAAAAGGUCAACAUGGAUGAAGAUUGUGAUCUAGUUAUAGACUUAGACGAUGAAAGAGAGGAAAUACCACAUGGAAGUAACAACAGAGAUGAAGAAAUGAGACCAAUAAUAUAUAUAAAUAAUAACAACGAAAACAAGAUUAUGAAGCAACAUUAUCAUAAAGAACUUCAAGAAACUAGCGUAAUACAGAGUCAAAAUAGCGAUCACAAUUCAGAUGAUGAUUACAUACAAGUCAUAGAUGAUGACGACUACGAACAGUCGGUUCAAAAAUUAAUAAGUGCUGCAAAUAAAAGAGGCAGAGAGUACCUAAAAAAUAAUAAACAAUUGAAAGAAGCGACAGCUAAUAAAAUACUUAAUGAUAGUCAAGUGUAUAAAAGUGAGUCAAUAAAUGGAGGUAUCACAAAUCAAGUUCGAGAUCACAGGACUCUACAUAAGCUUGGUCUGGGAAAAAAUCAAGAUAGCAUGUGUGAUUCAAGAAAUCGUGUAUUCAGUUGUGUUAGAGAAAAUCGAAUUGCAGAAACAACCAGCUACAAACCGAGUUACGAAUCUCAAUAUAUGAUGGAAGAUAUACCACACCAUAGAAACGGAAAUACUUUUAGAAGAAUGGAUGGAUAUAUGCAAGAUGUGAGGACUUUACCUAACAUUCAACAUGCUCGACACGCAUAUAGAUAUUAUGAUACAGAAAGACCAGAAGUUGAUUCAAGCAUAGAUGAUCAUUAUCCUAUAAUGGACAGAUAUGAAUACAGACAUACUCACAGACCUGAAAUUCCUUUGAGGAAUGAUUUUUAUCCUCAUGAUCCAAUAAACAGAAGCACUUAUUUCCAUGUUCAAAGACCAACUUUAAACACAAACUGUAGGUAUAAUGCAAUGCCCAGAGAUACACGCAAUCAUCAUUAUCUACCAGAAGAUAUGUUCAGCAUAGAUGAAUAUAGACGUGCUGAAAUAAAUAGGGCUCCAAAAUUAUAUUCUCAAAGACCCGAUUUGAUUAGAAUUUAUGACUAUAGGAAUACAGCAAUAGAAAGAGACGCUUAUAGCUAUGCUUAUAGACCACAUGAACCAUUGACACGUGAUUAUGGAAAUACUAUGAACAAUCAAUUUCCUUACAGUGAUUAUAUACCUGAUCAUGCUUUAGAUGACUACUGGCAAGCAAUGAUGAGCAGACAUGCUUACCGACCAGAAAAUAUAAUAAGCAUGGAAGACUAUGAACGCUCCUUAAGAUAUUGGCAUGCAUACGACAAUGCUUAUAAACCACCAAUAGGUCUAAGUUUGGAUCCCUAUAGACCAGUAGAAUUUCCUCACAUUUACAGACCUGAUAUAGUAAAUAUGGAUACCUGUAGAGAACCGAUGUUAACAAGAAAUCCAUUAUAUCCAGAAACUACAGGUAUAUAUUGCCACAGACAACAAAUCAGCUCCUACAGAACUGAAAUUGAUGAUGCUAAUAGAAACGAUGAUUGUACACUGAAUUUAUCCCGCAAACAAGAAACAACCAGUACAGCUGUUAACACGCUAAGAAAUGCGAGGAACGAUGAAAAUAAACUGCGAAUUAUUUUAAGUACAGGAAAUCAAGCAUCAAAAGCACCAUUGAAUACAAAUAAAAGGUUUAAAAAAUCUGGAAAUCUGGAUUUGCCUGUGUAUAAAUAUAAAAACAGUCUAAACAGAACAAUGGAAGACCAUAUGAAAAGCAGUAAAAUUACUUUGAGUGUGAAUAAACCUGAAUCAGAACAUAUGGAUAUCUGUAAACCGGGAGUGCCCGUUAUAACGAAUAGACCAGAUACAGUAAUAUUAAGUACUAAAAACAUUUAUAAAAAAAGCACGCAUAACCAGAUUGCCCAGUCUGAUGAUUUAGCUGCAUCAGAAAUAAUUCGCGAAAGCAGUCAUAAGAUCGGAACAACUGCUAAAGAAAUCGAAAAACAUGAGGUGAACAAGACACAUGAGGAAAAGGUAGUUGACCGAGAAAGUAAUGAUAUUAGUAUACAACUAUUGGUAGUUUUCUUUACACGUGUAAAGGAGCUCGUGAAAGUCACUUUUCCCGAAUUUUCAAAGUCGCUUGAAAAGGAAAUUGGUAAUUUGGGAAAAAGGACGAAUAGUGGAAGGUUGAAAACAGACAUACAAUACAUUUGUCCAUUAUAUUGUUCUGUGUCCACUUAUUCUUUGCCCCGAUUUGACAAUACUGACGAUGAUAAUAGGAUAGAAAAACAUGUAAAUCGAGCUAAAAUUUGUAAUGUGUGUAGUUGUAUUCAAAACUGUUACAAGUUGUACAAGAAAAAAUAUUUGAAUUUAGUAUCCACGCAAUCUGCAAGUGGAAAACAAGAAAAUGAUGCGAAGAAAGGCAAUGAAACUAUAAAUGUAAAUUUGCCAAUAGAGAGUGCUCGAGGAAUUAGGGCACAAACCGUUAUAUGUCGGCGUCAAGGUACAGACUGUAAAGAAAUUGGUAUAAGUGAAUCUAGAAGAAAUGUGGAGAUGGAUAUUAAUGAAGAAUUGCAAAGAAAUCAGCGUCAGGCAAAUACUAAUAGCAUAAUAUCGAAUAAGGACACAUAUGGUGCGGACACUAGCACUGUUAUUGACAAGCAUCAUAUAGCUAGCUUACAUGAUAAAAAGUUACUAGACUCACUAUCGGUAUUAAAUUUCAGUCUACCAAGCAAAAAUAUUGAAAAUGUAAUGAAUUCACCAAAUUGGGUUCCAACUAUAUCUAUUGAUGAUAGUGAUAUCUCAUUACGCAUUGAUACUCACAGCAACCGAAUGGGAAUCGAAAAACCAGUCCUAAAUACCAUUAAUGAUAAAAAAGAAAUAAUAAUUGACUACAGCAGUCAAAACAGACUGAGUUUAACUGAAAACAGAGUAAAUAAGCAAAAUGAAGCAAAGCUAAUACUCUCCUUAUCUUUCAAUGAAAUAACUAAUGCAGAUAUAAUAGCAUCAAAACUAAAGGAUAAGAUGAGUAAAAAACCUGACACCGUAUUCACGUGUCAUAUAUGCAGUUGUACAUUUACCUAUUUCACAACAUUUGUAAGUCAUAUGCAG